UUGUUCAUUCAACUAAAAAUUUUAAGUUUUCAGUGUCUCAACUAGUUUGAAAGUUGACUGAACUAGGUCAUUUGUCCUCAUAACUUAAAAAAAUUUGUUGACUCAAUUCAAUAGCAAUAUCACGUUCACAACAUCACUUAUCGCGAGAUCUCGUCAUUCUCCUGAAUGUUGUUGAAGAGAGAAGAAGGUCGUCAGCCAUUCUAGUCAGUUUCUCCUCAAAGUUUGGACAUUUGACUAGAAUACAACUUUGAUUCAGCGCAGAAUUCAAUAAUCCUGUGGAUGGACCACAGCGAGUCCUUUUGCAGUUAUCCAUCAAAAAGAUAUGCAGACAUAAUGGAAAUGGCAUUUACAUUGUAGAGCUUGGACGAAGUUCACACAGGCUCUGCGCAGGAAUUCAUCAAGGACAUGACUGCUGGGAUUGCGCUUGUGGAUGACCAAACUGAGCACCAUCAGUCUGCAGUGAUGUGAUCCAGCCAUCCAGUGACAUUAAGGAUGUUGAGAAAGAAAUUGAAGAGGGCAUUCUGAUUGUAACUGAGGAACAGCAAUGUGAUGUGCUUCCAAAGGAAUAACCAACAUUGGUCUCAUUUGGACAUCCUGUCAUCACUGACAUCUCCCAUGUCCCCAAGGCAUUUGGACUCCUAAUGGGUCUGUAUGCAGUGAACAUCCACUACCUCCAGUGCAUUAAAUACACCAUUGAGGCUCUGCAAAAACUUGUGAAGAUCAGCUGCUCCCACCAUGUGCUCGCUACCGCGGGGGAGUGUGGGGGAGUGAAUGUCCAGCGCUCUCUCCACCCUCAACACCAUGACUGAGGUGUCCUUGAGCAAGGCACAACUUCUCCCCGGGUACUGCAGCAUAAAUGGCUGCCCACUGCUCUGGGUGUGUGUUCACGGUGUGUGUUCACUGCUGUGUGUGUGUGUGCACAUUGUUGAGCACUUUGUUGAGCACAAAUGUAUGUCAUGUCACUUUCACUUUUCAGUGUUCAUGAUGUGUCCAUCGGCUCCACCGCACUCUUUCUUAAAAAGUAGUGUUUUUUUUUUUUUUUUAUAAGGAAAGGUUCUUUUGUGCCUUAUAAUGCAUGUUCUCAUGAGGUUGUUUCACCUCUCAUUUUCUUAAACAGUAUGUACACAUUUUCAGUAUGUAGCAUUAUGAUGGGGGACGAGUUUGGAAACUUUCAAUAUCCUUCUGAUGUUAACACUUCUGUCUGGUCAUGUUGUGCUAUGAAAUUUAGAAUCUGACUGUUUAGAUCUUUGUGCUUCCAUGUGCAUUCAUUCCAUUUAUAUCUUAUUAUACAGAAGUACAGUACACUCAUUUUUUGUAACUAAUUGUGAUAUAUACAUACAUCUUGGUUUCUCAUUUUGACCAUGACUGGUGGGGGGAGUGCAUGUGAACUUGUGCAGGGUUAAUAUGCAGAGUUCAACCUUCUGAUUUUCAUAUUGCGUUAUGAAAUUAAAAACAAUCCCUGUGGUUUUGAUCUGAUGAAUUGAAAUGCAACUAUUUGUUUCUCAAUCCCAUGCCAAUGUUAUUUAUUAUACAUCACACUUUCAAGUGUCGGUUCAGAUCUUUAGACGUGUUUGUAUUUUGCAUUUUUUGUUUUGUUUAUCAAUUAUCAGUUGAUGUGUUGUCAGCAAAUUGCUUGUUCAAUUUAAAUGUGAAUGAAAGUGU